rnacentral:rRNA from 1 species
GAUGAACGCUGGCGGCGUGCCUAAUACAUGCAAGUCGAGCGAACGGACGAGAAGCUUUCUUCUCUGAUGUUAGCGGCGGACGGGUGAGUAACACGUGGUUAACCUACCUAUAAGACUGGGAUAACUUCGGGAAACCGGAGCUAAUACCGGAUAAUAUUUUGAACCGCAUGGUUCAAAAGUGAAAGACGGUCUUGCUGUCACUUAUAGAUGGAUCCGCGCUGCAUUAGCUAGUUGGUAAGGUAACGGCUUACCAAGGCAACGAUGCAUAGCCGACCUGAGAGGGUGAUCGGCCACACUGGAACUGAGACACGGUCCAGACUCCUACGGGAGGCAGCAGUAGGGAAUCUUCCGCAAUGGGCGAAAGCCUGACGGAGCAACGCCGCGUGAGUGAUGAAGGUCUUCGGAUCGUAAAACUCUGUUAUUAGGGAAGAACAUAUGUGUAAGUAACUGUGCACAUCUUGACGGUACCUAAUCAGAAAGCCACGGCUAACUACGUG